rnacentral:rRNA from 1 species
GACGAACGCUGGCGGCGUGCCUAAUACAUGCAAGUCGAGCGAAGUUUUUCUGGUGCUUGCACUAGAAAAACUUAGCGGCGAACGGGUGAGUAACACGUAAAGAACCUGCCUCAUAGACUGGGACAACUAUUGGAAACGAUAGCUAAUACCGGAUAACAGUAUUUCUCGCAUGAGAGAUAUUUAAAAGUUGGUUAUGCUAACACUAUGAGAUGGCUUUGCGGUGCAUUAGCUAGUUGGUGGGGUAAAGGCCCACCAAGGCGACGAUGCAUAGCCGACCUGAGAGGGUGAUCGGCCACACUGGGACUGAGACACGGCCCAGACUCCUACGGGAGGCAGCAGUAGGGAAUCUUCCGCAAUGGGCGAAAGCCUGACGGAGCAACGCCGCGUGAGUGAAGAAGGAUUUCGGUUCGUAAGGCUCUGUUGUUAGGGAAGAAUGGAUAUGUAGUAACUAUACAUGUAAGAGACGGUACCUAACCAGAAAGCCACGGCUAACUACGUG